rnacentral:rRNA from 1 species
UACAGAGGGUGCAAGCGUUGUUCGGAAUUAUUGGGCGUAAAGGGCGCGUAGGCGGUGCGGUAAGUCUGUAGUGAAAUCUCUGGGCUCAACUCAGAGUCUGCUGCAGAAACUGCCGUGCUUGAGUGUGGGAGAGGUGAGUGGAAUUCCCGGUGUAGCGGUGAAAUGCGUAGAUAGUCGGAGGAACACCUGUGGCGAAAGCGGCUCACUGGACCACAACUGACGCUGAGGCGCGAAAGCUAGGGGAGCAACA